ACAAUCUGCAUUAUCUCCAGGGGACAUAUUCAGUUGAGGCAGCUGCUGACUUCCACACACAAGGUGACUCAGCAGUUUGGGGGGCUGUGGCUCUCUGGACCUCAGUAGGUAUUUUACAAAGGAAAGGAAACAAAGUUUUCAGAUGCAAAAGUUUGGAGGAAAACCAGUGACAUUUGAAAGGCAAGUGCCUGUAUUGGGCUGUGUUUUACUCAGUCACAGAGCUUAUAAGAAUUGAGAAUACUCUGAUGUUUUGCUCUCCUUCAACCUCAAGAAAUAAAGAGUAGCAGUGCCUCCUGGUGACAGCCAAGAUACAAUAAGUGUGAUUUUACCUGCUUUUCUUGCAUCCUUGCUGGUGAGUGCAUCUAAACUAUAGCUGUUCCUGCUAGCCUUUGUUGACAUGGAAACUAAGCCCUGUCAGAUUUCCAGUAUGGAUUGAAGAUGAACAGCUCUUUGGGAACUCCCUAGGUCUUCAGUGUCAGAUAGAGAUUGCUGAGACAUUUAAGGUUGUUGACCAAGUGGUUACCAGGUUCUUAGCCUCUUAAGUGUGCAGACAACUAUUGCUAUUCUAUCCAGCCCAGAGCAUGAAAGCCAAGCUUAUACACCCCCUUUAUAGUGUAUAUCAAUUGUCAGGUCUCUUCCUGUAGAGAAACGUGACUAAUACACAAACAAACAAAACCCAAAGUCACAAACUUUGCAGUUGCAGUGAUCUCCACAGUAUGUACAAGGUCCAAACUUUGAUCAUUGUCGUUACACUCAUGUCCACCCACAUCAGAUUCUCAAUGAGAUCGAUGUCACAGAAGAUAUUCUGAACUUGAUCUGAACCAUAAAAUGAUAGUGCACAAACACCCAUGGAAGGAGUUACAAAGACAAAGUUUGGAGCUGAGAUGAAAGGAUGGACCAUGUAGAG